UCUCAGUCGCACCCCAACAAAUCAAUAAAAAUGUCUCUAUUCGGCUCGCUCUGACACACAACCACCAUCUUGGAUCUUGAUUUAAACAUCUUCAACAUUGGACUGCCAGAGAAACCACACAAAGAUGGCCAAAAAUGUACUGAUGCUAUUGAAAAGUGUGUUGUUUUAAAACAAUUAUUACCAAAAAAAAAUGACAGCAAAUUUGCACCGCAUAAUUUACGUGUUUUUUGUGUUUCGGAUGAAAUGUUUAACGAAAAGAAAUGAAAACAUUUUCGGUUUUUGUGGCAAACGGAUAAAUCUAC